UCUCCGUAGGUGAACCUGCGGAGGGAUCAUUACAGAGUUCAUGCCCUACCGGGUAGAUCUCCCACCCUAUGUUAUUAUUACUUUGUUGCUUUGGCGGGCCGUUAGGCUCCGGCCCGACUACCGGCCCCGGCUGGUAAGCGCCCGCCAGAGGACCCAAAACCCUGAAUAUUAGUGUCGUCUGAGUACUAUAUAAUAGUUAAAACUUUCAACAACGGAUCUCUUGGUUCU
rnacentral:misc_RNA from 1 species